rnacentral:rRNA from 1 species
UACGGAGGGAGCUAGCGUUGUUCGGAAUUACUGGGCGUAAAGCGCACGUAGGCGGCUUUGUAAGUUAGAGGUGAAAGCCCGGGGCUCAACUCCGGAACUGCCUUUAAGACUGCAUCGCUUGAAUCCAGGAGAGGUGAGUGGAAUUCCGAGUGUAGAGGUGAAAUUCGUAGAUAUUCGGAAGAACACCAGUGGCGAAGGCGGCUCACUGGACUGGUAUUGACACUGAGGUGCGAAAGCGUGGGGAGCAAACAGG